rfam:Aedes albopictus isolate Foshan contig109413, whole genome shotgun sequence.
GACUCCGUAGCCUGAAGGCAUAGAAGCGCCCGUCUUUCGAAUUGGGAGUCGUGAGUUCGAGUCUCACCGGAGUAC